UCUGAAGUGCGGUUGCCCCCAACACUUCUCCCAAAGUAUCUAUCAAGAGAAUGGUCAGCAGAAAUUAGAUCUAGAUCAGUAGUUAAUCUUCCGGAAUGAGUGUAAAUGACUCUGGCACCCCUGGGCUUUUAACCGCUUUCUCAGUAUGCUGGGUUCCCUUCACGGAGCAAGAACAGAACAAGUAACCAGGUAAAAUGAUGCAAAUACAUUUUUUAGACCUACACCUGAAUUAUAUUUCCGUUGUCUCUUAGCUUUCGGAGAAAUCAACCAAGACAGUGAAGACAGAGAAAAUGCAUUCUGGACCCGCUACUGUUUCCAACCUUCAUUUCAAAUAAAGCCCAUAGUUUAUU
rnacentral:lncRNA from 1 species